rnacentral:lncRNA from 12 species
UGAGUCCUGGAUCUGACUCUGCUUAUCAAUCAAUACCACUUUCUGGUGUUCAUUAUUUUGAUAAAGUUAUUAGCAAAGCAACAGUAAAAAUUGAAGUGCUCCAUAAUCCUCAGCACCCACCAUUAACUUCUGAAAUAUUAUUGCACGUUAGCUUUUACUGUUACUUUACAAAAGCACUUACUGAAAGGCAGGGGAAGCCAAAAAAAAAAAAAAAAUCUGCUAAUCUGCUGCUGGUAGUAAAGGGGAGGAUGAUCACCUCUUAACAGAUUGUGAAAAUUCCUCCCCCAGAGCAGUAGGGGGCACAGAGAUCUUCUGAAUCUCCUUUUUUUUUUUUUUUUUUUGGCUCGGCCAGAAAUUGAUAGAUAUCUUCUAGACUAUAUAGGGGACAGAACAUGCCCCUCCAGAGAUCAAGAAAUGGGUGAGAUGUGCUUCCUGCUUUCCUUCCUAAUUCUUCCUGUGCCUUUCUUCUCUCUGCUUCCAGGCCUCCCAGGGAUCCUAGCCUGCUCAUAGAAAACCAACUGCACACAUUUCACAGGCUCUCUGGUGAAGGGAUGCUCACUACAGGCAUAUGUUGCAGAAUGUCACUUCGUCCACCUCUCAGCUAUCAGAAUAAUGGGAAUGCCAUUCAAUUCAGCAAGGGCACAGCUACUAGAAGGCAAGACUGUAAGACCUUCCUCAGAGCCAUCUACUGAUUGGAGCACCUUCGAUGCUGAGAACCUUGUUUUAAAAAGCUGCCAAGAAGUCUGGAUGAUACAAGACACUAAAGUCCGGAAGAAAUAGUUUCUCUUCAACCCAGAUCUCCGCUGGAUUGAAGCUGUACAGACAGCUAGAAAUUUGCAUCUCUAUCACUCCUCUCUGAUGCCUUCUUCAAAAACUCUUGGACUCAUUGCCUCUGGCUGACUUCUUACAUUUCAGCUGGAACUUCAUUUUAGGAAAGACCAUCGUUUCUUAUGAACACCAAACUUUGUUCUUUAGGUGUAUGUGCCUUUUUACCUUUCCUGGUGAACGAUCUGUCAGUGACAGGAAGAGACUUCAUUUUCCCUCCAGCUACGUUAAAUCAUUAGGAGCAACUUCAAAUUUAGAAAACCCUGAUUCCUUACCAUUUUGAAAAUGAUUUAUUUUUUUCUGUGUGUUCUGAGUAAAAUCAUUUUUUAAAGUCACUCAAAAGUUAUAUUCAUUCAAAACUGUUUCCUCUGGUUUUAUAGUUUUUAAACUAUUUUGGAUGAAAUACACACCUCCAGGAGUUGGGAAGUCUUAAAUAUUAAGAGCAAUUUUCUACCUCCCGUAAGGGGAGAGCCCUAAGCCAGAGCGUUGCCUCUCUGACUUUGUGCCUAGAGGCCCAGAGGCCACCU